GUGGGGAAUAUUGGACAAUGGGCGAAAGCCUGAUCCAGCCAUGCCGCGUGUGUGAAGAAGGUCUUCGGAUUGUAAAGCACUUUAAGUUGGGAGGAAGGGCAGUAAGCUAAUACCUUGCUGUUUUGACGUUACCGACAGAAUAAGCACCGGCUAACUUCGUGCCAGCAGCCGCGGUAAUACGAAGGGUGCAAGCGUUAAUCGGAAUUACUGGGCGUAAAGCGGGCGUAGGUGGUUCAGCAAGUUGGAGGUGAAAUCCCCGGGCUCAACCUGGGAACGGCCUCCAAAACUACUGAGCUAGAGUACGGUAGAGGGUAGUGGAAUUUCCUGUGUAGCGGUGAAAUGCGUAGAUAUAGGAAGGAACACCAGUGGCGAAGGCGACUACCUGGACUGAUACUGACACUGAGGUGCGAAAGCGUGGGGAGCAAACAGGAUUAGAUACCCUUGUAGUCC
rnacentral:rRNA from 1 species